GCCGACGUAGCUCAGUCGGUAGAGCGCGUCCUUGGUAAGGACGAGGUCACCGGUUCAAUCCCGGUCGUCGGCCCCA
rnacentral:tRNA from 1 species